rnacentral:lncRNA from 1 species
UGGCAGGCAUCCAGCACGGGCUGCGCCUAUGAAACGUGUGCUGAGCUUGCUCACCGAGUAAGACCGCACGGGCCCCAUCCAGUUAAACUCCCUGGAGCGUGGGGAGAGGAGGACCACGUCUGGGAAGGCAACAUUUCUGAGGGACUCCUCCAGAAGGCGCCACUCCUCUGAAGAUGACAGUUUCAGGGUGCCAUCUGCAAAUGAGCAUUGGAGUAGCUGGGGGCUCACCUCACAGGAGAGGGCUGACCACGGCUGGAGGGGCUGAGGGCCUAUGGGAGCAGAGCACUGGCUGGCAAGGGGGAGCUGGGGAGAGGAAGAAAAUGGGCCUCUCCUCUUUGGCAUGUUGUUUACCAGUUCCAUGCCCAGAAACAGGGCGAAGAGUCUCUUGGUCUGUUUAGCUCCUCUUCUGCCGCACUGAGUGGCCUCUAACCCCAGGUCCUAGCACUUAGGAUUGGGCCAUUCAACUGUGCAUUAAAAAGCAGCCUGGAGACCAAAUCAACUUUUAUUACCUUGUUUGUCUGGGAAAAUCUGUUCCAAAUUCCAAAGAACAGACUUAAACAUGAGCUGCGGGACACAACCCAUGUGUAAGUUGGAGCUGUCUGGAGAAGAGAGCACUGAUCUGACCGCAGUGAAGAACACAAUCUGGCAUAAUCUGUGCCUACAGCAAUGGGAAUCACUAGUGUUAUAAAUAAAACAGGAACAAGAAUUAUUACAUGAAAGACUUUAGAGGAAAAAAUGUUCCUUUUUGAAAAACAACAUCCAUCUGUGCAAUGAAAAGUUAGAAUCCCAGCAGAUGUAAGUAGGAUGUUUGGAAACUUCACGCAAAUCAACAUGAGAGAUGCUGAUGCCUACAGAGGUCAAAUCCUGCAUUCUUCUCCUGACAUAAAGAAACGCCUACCAGAAUGAUCACAUUAUCCACUCCCAUCGUUUGCAGUAGAAAAGAAGCUUUCCUGCCGCUGGCAUGUGGCCUGUGAUGAAGACUACUAGGCCCAUUGUCGUUUGUGCCUAUGCACAGCCUGAGUCCAAGGCACCCUUCCAAGGAGAGCCUCCUGGUGGACGACAAGACCUUGGGCCUUCUAGCAAAUGAAAGAAUGGCUGCCAUUGUCCAGGUGAUGCACGGGGCACUGCUGACCUGGGUUUCUCAUAAGGAGAACUCUGGUCUCUGAUAUUGUGAGCCGGUAAAAAAGAUUUCAGUGUUCUGUGUGCAAAAAUGGUUAUCACUUCUGUUGGUGUUAAAAUAAAUAAAUAAAUAAAUAAAAUAAA